CUAAUUGAAGGAUGAUAGCGAAUUAUUUUAAUGCGAAACGGAAUAUUGUCGAAUUGAAAAUUUCAUUAAAAUAAGAAGUUUUUCUUGCAAAGCUUUGAAAGCAUUUGGUGGCGCUUAGCGAAAUAGAUUACUGGAUGGAAAGACAAUAGAUUUCCGUUAAAUUAUACAAUAAAAAAAAAAAAUUGAGUAUGUUUUGAGUUCUUGGACUUCGAGAAUUGCUAAUGGAGACAAGAGUGUAGGUGGAAACUUAUACAUGUCGUUUCUCAUUGGAAAAUCGUGCCAUAGAAGAAGCGGCGUUUCACCACCCCAACGAAAACACUUUGUAAAUAAAUUAUGUUAUCCUCGUAAACGUCAUCACUGGAGCUGCAUUUGCGCAUGCCCCGACUGUAAAAGUCGACCGUAAAACUCCGUCCGCCAAAUCGACGAGACAUUGUUCGUUAAACGGCCGAGAUGCCGAGUAAAUUUCCUCUUCUAAUGCCAUGUUAGAUUUUUUCCCCUGCACUGUAGCGCGCACUUUGCCUGGCUUUACAGGCGGCACUGAAACGGGAUUACUUCCUCUCCUCCCACCCCGCAGGGGACAUGGUUUAUGGAUUCCGGGGUUUUAUAGGGUCGUUGUUAUCCAGAAAUACGAUGAUUGGCUUUAUCUACCCCUCUUCCCCUUAUCCCGUCCAAACGGAUUUUAAUGCGUUUGCCAUUUUUACGAGACACGGUCGCUUCUCUUGUUCGGGUCGGAGGAAGUGUGACGUCACCAUAUAGCUUGACGUCAUCGCUAUAGCUAUAUACUGUAUCUAUCCGUUGAUAUUCUGGCACUGGAAUUUUAUGACCAAAAUAUCGUAAAGUUGGACCUGGCAGAGACGUAAUGACGAACCGUUACUCUGAUAGAGUGCUCUUGGGAGCUGUCGUUACAAAAACUCUACUUCCGAGUCUGAUUGCUAAAUCGAUCUAGUUGAAAUAGAUGUGGCUACGGUUUGGUUGUGUUUAUGAUAUUGUAAUUGCACGCCAUAUACCGUCUAUUUUCUAUAUCUGAAACUGUUAUUUUUCUGCACUACUAUCGUCUUCUAAACAAAAUCAUUUUUGCUUCAUAUAAUAAUUGAUUAAAAUGUAUGCGAAUCGGUAAAUUAGAAAUGUUGGAUAGCCUACUAUUUUUUAUCCAGAAGUUUUUAUUUUUUUAAAUAUUUUAACGUUAGUCAACCAUUCCAUGUACGUCUUUGAUCGGUAUAUACAGUCAGACCUCAUUAUAUGGUCACCUCAGCGGACCCGGAAAAACUGACCUUGUAUCCGGGGUGACCAUAUAUCCGGGUAUAAGAAAAACUUAAUUAAGGCAAUGGAAUUUUAUUUACAGUGAAAUAUGGUUAAGAUAAUACAAUUGAAACCUGAAAAUUUUGUCGUUUUAAUCGAUAUUUUGUCUCAAAG
rnacentral:lncRNA from 1 species